UGACAAACAUUGUUAGCACGACUGCCAAACCAUCCAGACCUGGCUAUAUAUGUCUUGGCUCCCCUGGACCUAUGAGGUUUCCACCGAAGGCCAAGAUUGCUCUCAGUAAAGAGCUGACCUAGUUGCUUGACACCAGUGCAUUGCUGAUGGACAGCAACACCUCUAGGUGUGUCUGUGAUGUCAAAAAGCUGACUGAGAUCAUGCUGGAGCCAAAAGAAAGAAAGAAAGAAAGAAAAGGAGUGGAGGAGAGUGAUCUGAUGCGCAGAGAUAAAGUCAGCAGGGGACAGAGUUUUAAUGAAGCCUGCCUCUCAAUGGAGUAAAGGCUAGAUGUUCUCUUCAGUGGGGCUGUAAAGUGAUCCAGGUCUGAUAUUUCCCGG